UCCGGCUUGUCACCGGCAGUCUUCUUAAAGUGCUCUUGCGUAGCAACUAAGAACAAGGGUUGCGCUCGUUGCGGGACUUAACCCAACAUCUCACGACACGAGCUGACGACAGCCAUGCAGCACCUGUGUAUCGGCUCUCUUUCAAGCACCCCAACCUUUCAGCUGAGUUCCGACCAUGUCAAGGGUAGGUAAGGUUUUUCGCGUUGCAUCGAAUUAAUCCACAUCAUCCACCGCUUGUGCGGGUCCCCGUCAAUUCCUUUGAGUUUUAAUCUUGCGAUCGUACUCCCCAGGCGGUCAACUUCACGCGUAAGCUUCGUUACUAAGAUUCGCUCCUAACAACUAGUUGACAUCGUUUACAGCGUGGACUAC
rnacentral:misc_RNA from 1 species